GUAGGUGGCAAGCGUUGUCCGGAAUUAUUGGGCGUAAAGCGCGCGCAGGCGGUCCUUUAAGUCUGAUGUGAAAGCCCACGGCUCAACCGUGGAGGGUCAUUGGAAACUGGGGGACUUGAGUACAGAAGAGGAAAGCGGAAUUCCAAGUGUAGCGGUGAAAUGCGUAGAGAUUUGGAGGAACACCAGUGGCGAAGGCGGCUUUCUGGUCUGUAACUGACGCUGAGGCGCGAAAGCGUGGGGAGCAAACAGGGAUUAGAUACCCUGGUAGUCCACGCUGUAAACGAUGAGUGCUAAGUGUUAGGGGGUUUCCGCCCCCCUUAGUGCUGCAGCUAACGCAUUAAGCACUCCGCCUGGGAGUACGGCCGCAAGGCUG
rnacentral:rRNA from 1 species